rfam:Triticum aestivum genome assembly, contig: Triticum_aestivum_CS42_TGACv1_scaffold_220825_3B
AAUGUACUCCCUCCGUCCAAAAAUACUCGUCGGAGGAAUGAAUGUAUCUAGAUGCAUUUUAGUUCUAAAUACAUUCAUUUUUAUGCAUUUCUUCGACGAGUAUUUUCGGACGGAGGGAGUAGAAC